rnacentral:tRNA from 1 species
GCCUGCCUGGCUUAGUCAGUGGAGCAUGUGACUCUUGAUCUCGGGGUUGUGGGUUUGAGUCCCACGUUAAGCG